rnacentral:lncRNA from 1 species
UUUCUGGAACAGAGGAUGUAACGAGUACGUUUGCUCCAAGUGGUGAUGAUGAAUAUCUUGAUGGUCAACGGAAGGUCAACGUCGAGACCCCGAUAACGUUGGAGGAAGAGUCGGCUGUUUCAGACUAUCUUAGUGGUGUAUCUAAUUAUCAGUCCAAAGUUACUGAUCCCACCAAAGAAGGUAAGAACUUUGACCUUUUAAGAUUGUGUUUUUCUUUAGUGAUUAUGAAUAUGUAAUAACUCUGUUACGUUGUGUUUGGUUUAGAAACUGGAGGAGUACCGGAGAUUGCUGAGUCUUUUGGUAAUAUGGAAGUGACUGAUGAGUCUCCUGAUCAGAAGCCAGGACAAUUUGAAAGAGACUUGUCGACGAGAAGCAAAGAAUUCAAAGAGUUUGAUCAGGACUUUGACUCUGUUCUCGGUAAGGAUUCGCCGGCGAAAUUUCCAGGUGAAUCAGGAGUUGUUUUCCCGGUGGGCUUUGGUGACGAGUCAGGAGCUGAGCUGGAAAAAGAUUUUCCGACGAGAAGUCAUGAUUUUGAUAUGAAGACUGAAACUGGAAUGGACACGAAUUCUCCAUCAAGAAGCCAUGAAUUUGAUCUGAAGACUGAAUCUGGAAACGACAAGAAUUCUCCGAUGGGCUUUGGUAGUGAAUCAGGAGCUGAGCUGGAAAAAGAAUUUGAUCAGAAGAACGAUUCUGGAAGAAACGAGUAUUCGCCGGAAUCUGACGGCGGUUUAGGAGCUCCGUUGGGAGGAAAUUUUCCGGUGAGAAGUCAUGAGUUGGAUCUGAAGAACGAAUCUGAUAUCGACAAGGAUGUGCCGACGGGAUUUGACGGAGAACCAGAUUUUCUGGCGAAGGGAAGACCUGGAUACGGUGAGGCAUCAGAAGAGGAUAAAUUUCCGGCGAGAAGUGAUGAUGUGGAAGUAGAGACUGAGCUGGGAAGAGACCCAAAGACGGAGACUCUUGAUCAAUUCUCACCGGAACUUUCUCAUCCUAAAGAAAGAGAUGAGUUUAAGGAGUCCAGAGAUGAUUUUGAGGAGACGAGAGAUGAGAAAACAGAGGAGCCAAAACAGAGCACUUACACAGAGAAGUUUGCUUCAAUGCUAGGUUACUCCGGAGAAAUUCCGGUGGGAGAUCAAACUCAAGUGGCGGGAACUGUUGAUGAGAAGUUGACUCCGGUCAAUGAGAAGGAUCAAGAAACAGAGUCUGCCGUGACGACGAAGUUACCUAUCUCCGGAGGUGGAAGUGGAGUAGAGGAGCAACGAGGGGAAGAUAAAAGUGUGUCGGGUAGAGAUUAUGUGGCGGAGAAACUGACAACUGAAGAAGAAGACAAAGCCUUUUCUGAUAUGGUUGCCGAGAAAC